rnacentral:rRNA from 1 species
CCUACGUGUGGCAGCAGUGAGGAAUAUUGGUCAAUGGACGAGAGUCUGAACCAGCCAAGUAGCGUGAAGGAUGACUGCCCUAUGGGUUGUAAACUUCUUUUAUAGGGGAAUAAAACGUUCCACGUGUGGGAUUUUGUAUGUACCAUAUGAAUAAGGAUCGGCUAACUCCGUGCCAGCAGCCGCGGUAAUACGGAGGAACCGAGCGUUAUCCGGAUUUAUUGGGGUUACAGGGAGCGUAGGUGGAUUGUUAAGUCAGUUGUGAAAGUUUGCGGCUCAACCGUAAAAUUGCAGUUGAAACUGGCAGUCUUGAGUACAGUAGCGGUGGGCGGCAUUCGUGGUGUCGCGGU